CAAAUUAUAGCUUAUUAAGCAUUUCAUUUACAUUGGAAAGAAAUUAUAAUAAUUAUAAUUAAUUUGA
rnacentral:tRNA from 1 species